AAGAAGUACUCUUCAACAGUUGCCACAAUUUUCACAGGCAUUGCAUCCGCAGCAAUGUUUGGUCAUACUUUGACUAUGAAUUUUAUGUUGGGAAUUUCUAUUGUGUUUAUCUCGAUGCACCAGUUUUUUUCAUCCCUUUCAAAAGUCAAAGACGAACAGCUGAAUGGGGUGGUGGAACUGAUGGAUGUUCAAGACGACCACAGGUCAAAAGAUUCAUUCAUAAACAUGGCAGCUGGAGCAAAUGAA
rnacentral:misc_RNA from 1 species